GUGCCCGUAGCUCAGCUGGAUAGAGCACCAGCCUUCUAAGCUGUGGGUCAGGGGUUCGAAUCCCUUCGGGCACA
rnacentral:tRNA from 1 species